GAUGAACGCUGGCGGCAGGCUUAACACAUGCAAGUCGAGCGCCCCGCAAGGGGAGCGGCAGACGGGUGAGUAACGCGUGGGAAUCUACCCAUCUCUACGGAAUAACGCAUGGAAACGUGUGCUAAUACCGUAUACGUCCUUCGGGAGAAAGAUUUAUCGGAGAUGGAUGAGCCCGCGUUGGAUUAGCUAGUUGGUGGGGUAAAGGCCUACCAAGGCGACGAUCCAUAGCUGGUCUGAGAGGAUGAUCAGCCACACUGGGACUGAGACACGGCCCAGACUCCUACGGGAGGCAGCAGUGGGGAAUAUUGGACAAUGGGCGCAUGCCUGAUCCAGCCAUGCCGCGUGAGUGAUGAAGGCCCUAGGGUUGUAAAGCUCUUUCACCGGUGAAGAUAAUGACGGUAACCGGAGAAGAAGCCCCGGCUAACUUCGUGCCAGCCGCCGCAGUAAAAC
rnacentral:rRNA from 1 species